CUCUUUGCGCUUCCAUCUCUUUCUUACUAACUCCAGAAGCCUGCGAGUCUCCUUAUGCUUCUCUGCCCCACGUAUUCAGGGGUCUGCGAGAGCCUCUGAAGGGGGUGGAGAGUGGUCACCUCAGAAGGCAUUUAUGAAGGAAACAAAAGCUCCCCAGGGCAAGAUCUCAGUGAUGCAUUCUCCUCCUGGAAUGGCCACAAUGAAGAAAUGAAGAAAUUCUAAAAAAUGGAAUUUCAAGGGGAAGAAAGAUGUGAUUUGGAGAAGUAUUUCUGCUGUUCCCCAGCUGUUUGAAACAUGUUGUGGCUUUGACUUCUUCCAACCACCUCCUGUGAUGAAGAUUACCUUAAUUGCUUGUUUGUGGAACAUUCAGUCAGAGACAGAAUAUGCUGUAACAAUUACCAAUAGAUGACGGCUGACAUUUUACAUUCCUUGUUAUUCUAUUAGCAGGUUCUUAUGGCUUCUUGUUUGGCUUUUUUUUUUUUUAAUUUAAAUUUUUUUUUUUUUUUUUUUUUUUUUUUUUGUAUUGAAGCCAGAAAAUUCUUUGAAGUCUUGUGAUCACAGUGCAUCAUUCCCCUACAGGGUCACGUCAUGGUCAGAAAAAAAGGCUUGUUUCCUUUCAAAUGACAUUCAAUGAGCAUUUAUUGAACACCUAUUGUGUGCCAGACAU
rnacentral:lncRNA from 1 species